UGCAGCUAGUGUUGCAGGGUGUGUGUGUGUGUGUGUGUGUGUGUGUGUGUGUGUGUGUGUGUGUGUGUGUGUGUGUGUGUGUGUGUGUGUGUGUGUGUGUGUGUGUGUGUGUGUGUGUGUGUGUGUGUGUGUUUCUUAUGAACAAAAUAAAAAGAAAGAAAGAAAAUACAAGAAUGAAGUAGCACAAUGCAUUUUUAUGACUUGUAGAGGUAAUGCAGAUUACAAUGGUUACUGGGAAACAUUCGAUUACAAUGUGAUUUGAAACAAAUUAAGACAAGAUGAAAAUGGUAUUUAAAGGAAAACAAAAAAGCUCCAAUCAAACCAUUGAGAGCAUAAGGGUUUCCCAAAAUAGUUGUCGGUUGUUGAUGUGAAUGGCCUCAGUUUUACUGGCCAGCUACACAACGUAUAGAUGGACAAAUUUGACUUGAUUGUUUUAAUUGGUGGUCACACUGGGGUAAUUGAUAAUUCCCUCUGACCGACAUUGUGGCAGACGAACACACAGGACGUCUAACUCUGGAAAACACAACAUCAAUUACCAGCCCACGCUAAGAACAGGAGAAAAAGGAGGGAAAAAAAUGGGCACCCCAACGCUCAAAAAUACUAUAUGAUGCAAUAAAUACACAAUGAGACACAGUAGAAAACAUUCAACUGAUGCAUGCAGUUCCUGAAGGAAUGCCUGAACUGAAACGUCAGUGGGAGGAUAUUGGUGCAAAGAGCACCUUCAACCUGGGCCAGGGAGCUCUGUCAUUGGUCCGUUGGUCCAGGGAGGGCUUUCAUUGGUCCGUUAGUCCAGGGAGCUCUGUCAUUGUUCCGUUGGUCCAGGGACGGCUUUCAUUGGCCCGUAUGUCCAGGGAGGGCUGUGAUGGUCCGUUGAUCCCUAGGUUGUUGAGAGACAGCUUUACUGUAAUGUAUAGGGGGUCUCCUUGAGCUCCUGGGUUGCUGGGCCCCCCGGGGCCCUCUAGGCUGGGGUUUUGGUGUUAUGGGCUUUGGGGUCUUUUUUUUGUCUGCUCAGAAAUUCUCUGGGAGAGAGCGAGAGACCGAGAGAGCGAGAGAGCGAGAGAGCGAGAGCGAGAGAGAGAGAGAGAGCGAGAGAGAGAAAGAGAGAGCGAGCGAGAGAGCGAGAGAGAGAGAGAGAGAGCGAGAGAGCGAGAGAGAGAGAGAGAGAGAGAGAGAGAGAGAGAGCGCAUGGCAGUGAUGCGGGCAGGAGGAGAGGACAGUCUCGCUGCCAAGAUGAAUGGGGCAGUAAAACUCAAUGUGGGUUGGUGCUGGUGGUGGGGUGGAAGUAGCGUGUAGCUAGUGUCCCAGCCGGUCCCAGCAGGCCCUUGUCGCCAUAUAGAGUCAUGUUCCCCGAGUGCCGUCUCCCUCGCAGACUAAACUGUAAGACGGCGGUUAGUGCGGGCAUUAAUCAGCCCCCUCUCGCCACAGCACAACAGAACCGCCACACAGAGCUAAACAAGAGCAACUCUUCCACUGCAUCGUCUUCCCUCCCCUAACAACAGCUAGCUGUAGCCUAGCCAUUGUACAAAACACUGAACAAGACACACAAACACAGACACAGCGCCUUUUGAGUUGCUGCUUUUUCAUCCUCAUUUGGGGUCAAUACACAGCAUUUGAUAUAAUUAACAAUUAUAUUUUUACUUCAUAUAAACAUUAUAGCCUACCAUUUCUCAUGACUCGUUUUAUGUGGCUCUUUUUUUUGUUGUUAUGAACAAAACAUGUAGCCUUAAUAAAAGAAAAGGAAGAUUUUGUACCUAAAUGCAUCAUCAUACAGAUGUCAUUCACAUGUGGAGUCCUAUAGGAAAUUAUUCAGUAGAUGAUUGUGAAAUGAAAAUGGUGGCAUUAAAACCAGUUACUUUUUUCGAAAAUGCAGCUGAAGCAUGUUGCCUCUCGCUCAUACUUCAUCAAGUAGCACAGCAUGUGCUAAGCACACUCUCUCCAUCAUCCUCCGUCCUCAACCACCCACACAGCCCCCUAUCUCUAUCUGUCACACACACGCAAACACACAAACACACACGGGCACUUACACAGAGAGCAUUUGCCUUUAAUCCUCAUGCCAAUUCUUGGGAUUAACUCAUUUCCUGUGUUUCUUAAAAUUUCAGGAGAACAUUUGUCUUCCUCUUCAAGUGUGUGCUUUCGUGUGUGUGUGUGUGUGUGUGUGUGUGUGUGUGUGUGUGUGUGUGUGUGUGUGUGUGUGUGUGUGUGUGUGUGUGUGUGUGUGUGUGUGUGUGUGUGUGUGUGUUAUUGUGCAUAUUAUAUUGUCUACAUUCAUUUUAUAUUUUGUGCAUGUGAAAUGUAGCUUAUAUUGUGUGUACUGUAUCCUGUCUGAGGGAAUAUUUUUGAUACAGUAUACCUGCCUACGCAUCAAGCCUAUUUAUAUAUCUCUCUCUCUCUCUCUCUCUCUCUCUCUCUCUCUCUCUCUCUCUCUCUCUCUCUCUCUCUCUCUCUCUCUCACGCACACACUCGCACACACACACACACACACAUUUGUAUUCAAAUUCAUUUUCAAAUAAAACUGCCCAAGGACCACCAAACACACACGUACACUUUCAAAACAUACGUGUCCGCAUAAACAUGCACAGACCCCAUUCUAUUGGUGCUUCAGGAGCAUUCAUAUGCAGAUGAAUUAUGUAUUUCAUGGGAUGACAAAGGAGGUCUGUCACACGCAGCAUAAACAGGCAGGAGCUCCGCAGUAAAGCCGGUCAACAUCCAUCAUUUGCCAAGACAAAAAUAGCCCCCGCCCCAAUUUACCCCAGACAUUUCCCUGUACUCCCAACCAAUGACCACUCAGCUAGGCCCACACCUAGCACAUCAACACACAAGAGACAAGAAACUCGAGACAAUGACUUUACAUUUGUUCCUAUUUCUUUCUUGUUUGUGUUUGUUUGUCUUGCAUUCUUUUGCAUGCUUUUCUUCAUUGAUUCAUUCGCCGAUACAUUGUAAUGACCAGCUCAGCUUUCUCUAGCUGCGUUACCUUGACGUCAUACCUGUCUGUUUUACAUUCCUUUCAAGAGCCUUCCUAAAGAACCCCUUCCUGUCUCAUCGCGUAAUGUCAGAAUUUGGCGGUAACUUCACGUCAAACUAUUAGAAACAAUCUCCGUUCACCAGCCACAUAGAAGCAAGCAGCAGAUUAAAAAAUAAUGAUAACACGGAUAUUCGGGGGAACUGCGAGAGAAUGUAGUGUGAGUGACCACAAGGACAGAGCAGUGAAAAUAAAAUUGGAAAUGAAAAUCGUGAGGGAUGGCGAAUGUGCUCUGCACAUCGUGGCUUUGCUGGAGAUCGAAACUGAUUUCUAGCAAACCAGACCACUGAAAUGCCUUUUGAGAUUUCCCAUGGCUGUGGAUUAUAUUUAUGUACAUUAUUAAUCUUAUUAAUAACGAUUUAUCCCUAUGAAUCUUUUGUCCCUGGGGAGGUUAUGACUGCCUAUAUACUUCUACAGGUAUUUUCUGUUGUUUCCUAAUCAUUCACGCAUGCAGAUAGAUUGAAACAUACCCACUCACACCCUUAAUAAAUGUUAGCACAUAUUUUCCAAAUAAGUAAGCGAUAAACCGAUCCUAAUUAUGUCACACAUGAAGCUAUUCCUAUUCGACUCCCCCUCCCACACACACACACACACACACACAAACACACACACCCCUCCUGCCCUGCCCCCACACUCACACACACACACACUCCAACAGAGCAAGAGGACGGCCAUGAUGGAUGGCAGAGGAUGCUGUGUUUGGUUUAUCAACAGUUGCCAUUGCUUUGAGGGAAGAGCUGCGGAUGAUGGAGUGUGUUUGUGUGGGGAGGGGGAUUCAUAUGAAUGUGUUUGUGUGUCUGUGUGUGUGUGUGUGUGUGUGUGUGUGUGUGUGUGUGUGCAUGUGCGUGCGUGCGUGCGUGCGUGCGUGCGUGUGUGUGUGUGUUUGAGUGUGGUGCACGCUUGUGUGUGUGUAUUGAUGUGUGAGUAUUUGUAUGUGCGUAUCUGAAAAAUAGUGUGCGUGUGUGUGUGUGUGGUAGGGUUUGUGUAUGUGUGUGUGCAUUUGAGAAAUGAUGUGUGUGUGCGUCUUUGAGAGAAAGUGUGUGUUUGUGUGCGAGCACAAGUAAGACAGAGUUAUCUGUAGACUGUGUGUGUGUCGUAGAUAAAGGAAGGUAGGGCGGUGUUAAGUGCAAAGGCGUGGAGAGGCAUCUUACCAGCAACCAGCUGACAAUCUCCCCUCCCCUCCGUCCCCCCUCAUUCAACUCCCCUCGCAACAUCCCUUCCUCUCCCCCUCUCCCCCUCUCCCCUGCCCUCGCCUCCUCAUCUCCCUCCUUCACUCCCUCCUUCCAAACAGAGGAACAAGAAACAAACAAACACACACACAAACCAAAAAUGCAAAUGAAAUCAGAGAAUAAUUCUGCAUUGCUAUUUUUUUCACCAGCCCAACUUGGGAAAACAGUCCCAUGGAAUUGGACAUUUUUGUUAUUUUUGUUGUUGUCGCCCUACUUCCCACUGUUUAUUCUUCCCCUCGUCUCUUUCCGCUCUUGUUUCUGUCUCUGUCAAUCCCCCGCCCCCCUCUAAGCCGCUUUGCGGGGAUGCACACAGGAGCCACCUUAUACUGUUUUCCUUUGCAAAUUCUCUUAUAUAUUUUUUUGCCAGAGACAGCACAAUCACACGCACCUCCUCUGCUCACAAAGAGAAUACUCUGCUGGUUCUGAUUCACCCCGGCUUCCUUUUCUCCUGGUGGGAAAUAAAAAAACACACACACAGACACACACACACACACAGACACACACACACACACACACAGACACACACACAGACACACACACAGACACACACACAUACACACACACAUACACACACACGCACACACACACACACACACACACACACACACACACACACACACACAGACACACACACAUACACACACACAUACACACACACGCACACACACACACACACACACACACACACACACACACACAGACACACACACACACACACACACACACACACACACACACACACACACACACACACACACACACACACACGCCCACCUAGCGAAGGAUAGUCGAUGCCGGGGCCGUCUGAUCGUGUUGGAAGCGGCUUUCCUGCUGAAAGGUUCUAUAGAGCCCCCACAAGCACGUACGCACGCACGCACAAACGCACAGACACACACACUCCCCUUUCACAGCAGAGUGCCUUGAACAGUUUCAAAGCCAACUCAAAUUUUAAUGACUUCCUUGGACCAGGAACCAAAGUCUGUUCAUUUGUCUUAACCGUAACCCCACGUCAGUCCGCCAUCUUGUUUUAUUAAUGCAGUCUAUAGUGAUGAAUAAAUGGAUACGGCUGUUUGUAGUCCAUAGAAACAACAACCUCCCGUUGUACUUCCAAGUGCUAGCCAUGAUUUUUAUGUUUUUCUUGUUGUUGGUGUUAUUCAAAUCAACCUCAAGAAAAAUAUCAAAUAUGAAACUUGAACAGAUUCUAUAAUCAGAGACUAUAUUGUUGGCAAAUGGUUGACAAUUAGUGUGGGAGUGAUCAUAGUGUUUUUUUAGGAAGAGCAGUCAAGCUGUCUAUUGCUGGAGAAUAUCUGCCAACUACUAAAGUCUAACACUCCCACAUUCACCAUCUUUCAUCUCACACACACACGCACACGCACACACGCACGCACACACACAUACACACAGUCCCUUAAGGUGUUUGUGUUUCUGCUGGGAGGUUUUUAGUUAAAGUCCCACCCCAUUGGCUGACGCAGCAUGCAGUGUUUCCCUAUGUGCAUUCAAUUUAUGCAUUUAUUGCCCUUAUUGGGGCACACCUGCCCAUUUACAAGGCCUUUGAUGUCUGAUGAGACUGCAGGUGGCAACCAUUGCCUGGCUUCCUCUCGUUAGGAAACCAGAGGGUAAAUAGCGAUAAAUAGGUUUGUUUGCAAGUGGGCUUGAACAAGCAACACUGUUCUCUUCUCAACUCUUAAACCACUGGCCUCUUCUUCUUUUUUUACUGUGCUUAAGAGGAGUGUGAAGGGUUUUGCAAUAACAAAUCACUGCAGUGCAUUUUCAACCUCCCUCCCAACGGAAAGGUUGCACUACCAGUUCUGAGUUCUGGGUAUGCCUUGUGUUUGUAUAGCGACGCUGUCUGAGCCAGUCACAGCUGGAUUAGGUUGUCUAGAGCACCCAAUGGUCAAUACACACACACACACACGCACUCGUGCGCACACACACACACACACAGAGGGCUGAGAUGUUUUAGUCUCUCGAUGGGUGUAGUCUUUUGCCGACAUAACAUUUGAUGCUGCAAUUUACCCUACAUGGUCCGCAACCUUAUUUAACACCAAGGCUGUUCAAUGACGCAAUGAGAGGUUCCUCUGUUGGAGCAACAUGUGAUGGGAAGCGUCAAUUCAUAUGUUGAAACCGUUUGACCACUUGAUAACAAAGAUAUUUCUGUUACAGAUCGUCUUCUGACUCUGCCUGUAGCAAGAGCUCUUGCAUGCAUUGACCCCAUGGACACACCAUCUAUAAACCAACAUCGGAAGAACAUCUUUGUGUUUGUACUGUUUGGCUGUGUGUGUGUGUGUGUGUGUGUGUGUGUGUGUGUGUGUGUGUGUGUGUGUGUGUGUGUGUGUGUGUGUGUGUGUGUGUGUGUGUGUGUGUGUGUGUGUGUGUGUGUGUGUGUGAGCAUGUGUGUGUGUGUCUGUUUUCUGAAAGGCUUCCCCACAAUGAAUUGACCUCACUAUCUUUAGCCCCGCAGAAGGUUGGUUAAUGGCCCUUGCUCUUACCACAUCCAUUAACCUGUUACGCAACACAGGGGCCAUGAUGGAAAGUCCUAUCUUCUGACCCUCUGCAAGACUUUCAGAUUCAACUCACACAUACACACACCCAUGCACACACACACACACAAACUGACGCAUACACUAUCUGACUCGAUUCAUUGUUGCUCUGUGUCAGUGAACCAUGUGCUGAAAGUCUUUCAGUAACAAGCCCAGAGCUCGUCAUUACCCUGGAAACAGGUUACCGAGGGCUCAACUCGAUGGUGGAACUGCUCUGCCAGGAUGGGGGUGUGCCCGCGCACGGGGCGUGUCCCCAUGAACUGGAUAAAAGUGGGCCCGGCCUCCGAGAGACGGCGGCGGGAGAUUUGAUUUGUGUUUUGCUCUGAUUGUCAAGACCAGUUUUGAUUCAUGCUUUUCACGCAAUUAAAACAAGAAAGGUGGAUUGUGGAUAGUCUCCUGCCCCGUUUCUUUGUUUUACGUCUGAGCCGCGUAACAGGAGGUUUGGGAAGAACUUCCCGAAGAAUUUAUCUGAGAGGUCAAGGGAUCAGCGGAGGUCAAAGAUCAAAGUUCCACGAGUCUCCGUCUAGCAGAGAAAAUACAGGAACCCGCUUGUGCUGCCAACAAGCACACACUGAACUCCUUCAACCAAUUGCAGUUUUUUGGUUUCAAAGGUUAAAUCUGGCCUAAAAAUGUUUUGACAUAAGGUCGUCGGAUUCGAUACCAGAACAACAUUCACGAUCUUUGUUUGUUGAAUAUUAACAAUUAACGGUUUGAACAAGAUGAACAUGCACGGUGGGGUUUGAUCCAGUUAAGAACCCACGUCAUAUGCCUUCUCAUAAACGUUGGGUUGGCUUUCAUUAGCAAGUUCAACACGUGUGGCUGAUUUGGAUCUUUAUUGGGUUGUUUCACGCAAAAGGCUGCAAAACACAAUCUUAUUAUCAAAAUUAACGUUUUGUUAUAGGAGUUCCAAACAGAGACGGCAUUUCUGUUCAUUAUGUUAGCCAUCCUCUUUAACCCUGCCCUUGUAUACACAGGCUUGAAGGGGGCCCCCAAAAAAACACAGUUUGGAUUAGUCACAAGGUAAUGGGUUGGGACUGCACUGCAAUCUGACCUUACAAAAAAUAAAAAUACUGCUUUUCUUAUUGUAUGUAUACCAUUAAACUACUGUUGUGAAGGAAUCAGUGAAGAUUACGCUUGAUGGUGUGGCUCGGAUUUGGAAAAAUGGUCCUCAAAUAAUCUCUGUGUCAUUGUUGAUUUGCCUCCAACCACAUUAGACGGAACAACCAGACCAGCAAACAGGAUGUUUGAUAUCAUCUCGGUAAUAGAACAGAUGUAUACUCUUGAUGGGUUACGUUGUGGUGAUUUCUUAGCAGCCUAAGCUUCUUUGGGGAGGCAAUCUGACCCUAGUAGCCCCUGGAGUCCAUCUGUACACACUAACCCAGGCACUUAUAGAGCCACAGUGGCAGUGACCACCAUGGCAAUAAAACACCCCACAUCUUAGCAGAAGCCAUACCUGUAUCAUUCACAUUUAGAGCAUUUAGCAGAGGCUUCGAUCCAAAGCGAUUGACGCUGAGUAUAUUUGUCAGAAGAAGAUAAACAAUAUGUCUCUGUCGGCACAGUAAAGAUGUUCAUAGAACCAAGUGCAAAGCGCUAACAAUUUGUAUACAACAACGCUAGCUAGGAUAAGAUUCUACACAAUGCCAAGUACCAUUUUUUUACCAGUGACGGGGCAUGGCAGUGGUGGAGUGUUAUCACUUGGCACCAUCAUCGUAUCCAUGCUAUCAUUGACGUGAAUCACCAGAGCACUUUAACCUGAUGAGCAAAGGAGCGUUUCCUUUGUAGUUGUAUGAGCCAACACAGCCCAGUCACCUGUUUCCCAAUCCACCCAAUCCCCCCCGCACACCCGCCCACCCAGUCCAAUGAUUGGUUCAUCCGUGUGGCCCACCCAGGACAUGACACGAGGACCCACAAGACCUGUCUUGCUUCUCUCAGACUGCAUGGCUCCUGCAGUACAUCCUAGUCAUUCUGCAACCACCAGCGCUAUUAUUAUUUCAGCGAUUACAGUGACUAUGGCACAUUGGCCGGCUGCCUAGAACUGCCAGCGCAUCCAAGUAAGGAAAGUAGUAAUUCCUUCCUAUCAAUAGUGGCUUAGUCUGCAGCCCACAGUUCUACCUUUAUCGUUUCAGGAAACAUGAGAUAAUUGCUAAACUAAAUAAGUUUUCUUUCUUUUAAAACCAUGAAGAAGUGCAUGCAACUAAACACUUUCAUCGCUUCUGCCACAUUAUUAAUUAUGAUAUUAUUUCUUAAGACUUCUUCGUAAAGUACACUGCUCCUCCUAAAUGAUGACAGACUUCUUUGUAUAAAGAAGGGCUGGCUUCCCGUUAGUUCUCUUUAUCCGCAGCCGGAGACCCUGUGCUGCUUACGUUCUGCCAUGACAGACCGUGAGUUCCCAGAAGCAGGCUCAGGCCUCGCCAAUAGAGAGCCAGCCGCACUGUUGAGUGUGGGACAACGGAACACAUUAGCGUGUCACUGAAAUGAAUCGAUGUCUGGUGGUUUGUUUGGUCUGCUAGGGCUGGGAACAGAGUUUCAGAGUUUCAGUUGCGGAAAGUGUUUGAAAGGUUGAAAUCCCUUUGCCUGAAUGAUUACAUAGAUAUCCAUGUUGCUAACAUGUUGAAUGCUUGUUUCGAAGAAAGACAGCACCUGGCCGUACAGCAGGUGAUUAUUAUUAUUUGAGGUAUCUGCAGAGUAGGAUAAUUUGCAGAAGUAAUCACAGUAUUUGUACUGAAGUACUAGUGUAGUAUUAGAAGUAGGCCUAAUACAAGCAACAGUAGUUAAUAGUAGUAGUAGUAAAAGCACUGAUCAAAGUACUGAGUAGUAAUAGUAGUAGUAAUAACAUUUUAGUGUAUUGCCCUUAUAAUGUCUUCUCAUUAUAUUAUAUUGCUCUUAUUUUAUAUAGCAUUAUCAUUACAUUGUAGUCUUAUGAUAUUCUAUUCUCAUUAUAUUAGAUCCUCAUGGAGCGCUGAUGUGACUAAAAUAGGUAUUUCAAAAAACAAGCCAGACGUGACUGGAAUAUGGCCGCUCAGGGCAGGACCUCCUCCAUAAAUCAAAAUGAUUUUCUGUACUUGCGGGAGCGCUAAGGUCAACCAUCCAAACAAGUUGAUCCUAAUCUAUUGGCUCACUGACUCAACGUUCUAUUUCCAUGUAGUGUGUAUCUGCCUUUCCCUAAUCUUCUUUACCCUGUGUGCGCGUGUGUAUUUGUGUGUGUGUGUGUGGCUGAGUAGUAUAUUUAUAUAUUUUGUGUGUGUGUGCAUGUACAUUUGUGUGUGUGUGUGUGUGUCUGUGUGUGUGUGUGUGUGUGUGUGUGUGUGUGUGUGUGUGUGUGUGUGUGUGUGUGUGUGUGUGUGUGUGUGUGUGUGUGUGUGUGUGUGUGUGUGUGUGUGUGUGAGUCUGAGUAGUAUAUCUUUUAUGUUUUCUCCGUGUGCGUGUUGGUGUGUGUGAACGCGUGUGCAUGCUGACAGUUGGCCGUCGCCAUGGCAACCCAAGAGUGUGCAUGCAGAGGGGAGCAGACGUGUAAAGGAGCUGCACAUUAACUGUUCAAAUGUGUGAUUCCAGGCUUCACACUUGGCCGAUGAUAUCAAGAAGUCAUUAUCACCUCCCAGCAUGGAGGAGGAGGCAGGAGUGGCAAGCCGUCCAGGCCCUGGUGCCUUCUCCCCACCCGAGGCUGAUACGGUUAACCAUUCAUCUCUUGUUUAUCUUCAAUUACCUCAAGGUCAUCAUCAUUGGGAGGCACGGCAUAAGCCCGGAGUUCAUAGGACAGAUAGAGAGGGGAGAUGAGGGGGAUGAGGGGGAUGAGGAAGACGGAUAAGAUGAGUGGGUUCAAGCAUGGCCAGAAUGUGUACGCUUCAAACGUUGGUGUUUGAAGGUAGAAAAGUCUCAACGUCAUAUUAAACUAAACAACUAUUUAACCGAACAAGGAUGGUUUCUUAAAGAAUAACCAAGGAAUCGUUGACACUGGCAAUUAGCUUUUAUGUGUCCCGCAGCUUACUUUAGGUAAAGUCAUCGUUAUUGUGAAAUUUACAUAUUUGUAGGUUUAUUUUUUCUAUGCAUUAUGGGGGUAAAAUAUAAAUGUAUGCAGUUUUCAUAAAUACGAAAACAGAACCAUAACCCAGUUGCUCUCUCCGGCCUUCAACACCAACAACACAUCAAUAGAGGUGGACUUAGUUCAGGGGGAAAUUGCGCCAGUCAGCCAAUCAGCCAAUUGUUAGAGGAUGAAAGGGAGCAUGGGGUCGACAUGGCAACCAGUCAGCUGGUCCCCGUCCAGCUGUCUGCGAGCUGUUGGACUGUUUCAUGGCGACCGCCAGGCUAUAGGAAUGCUUUGGCUUACCAGAGCCCCCCCGGUCCCACACACACACACACUCACAUACAUCCGGGCAUGUUUGCAUGGACGUACACAUGCACACACAUACUCCCGCACACACAUAUGCAUGCCAACACACACACACAGAAACACUCAUAUAUUCAUACACACUCAUUCACACACACACACACACACACACACACACACACACACACACACACACACACACACACACACACACACACACACACACACACACACACACACACACACACACACACACACACACACAUACACAUACAUAUAUACACACACACACACACAUGCACACUGUGGUGAUAUGACUUGUUUAGCAGACAGCCAACCCCCACACUGCAUUCAGUCAUUCAGUGAAUGGACAAAGACCGACCACCAGAACAGCAACCGGGUGCAAAAUAUUUUAAAGCUACACUACUAUUUGUUUUGGAGCAGCAACAUUUUUCUCUUGAAAAAUCUGCUGUUUUAAGGUCCCAAUGUGCUAGAUUUAGACUAUGGUUAACUUUGUUAAACAACGUUUAAUAAUGUUAAAUAACCAAUUUGCAAAGUCCUUAUCUGCGAUUGUUCCAUAAUGAGGCAAAAAUGAUCAAUAAUCAACUUCAAUGUGUUGGACAUUCCCCUUGUCUUUAGCAAAGUUCAUCCGCGUCGCUGUACAGAGAUGGUCGAGGCAGCUGCCAUUGUGUGUUCUGAGGUAAGAUACCUUAGGUAACUCUGAAAGACUUAUCAGGCCUUAGUACAGCAUGCAUUUCUUCUUUCUUGAAACGGGGAUAUGGACAUUAACAUUACAGAGGGUGGAAGAGACUGCCAUACAAUUAGUUUCAAAUUAAUGGACAACUUUUUGGCAGAGUCCACCUCGACUCUGCAUAGCCACCCUCCCCCUUCUGGCCACCAUUGUAUACUGUAUUGCAUUGUGUUGUAUUGUAUUAUAGCACUUAACUGUGUAGCAACUGCAGUAGCUGCUAUCAUUUCUGUAAGACGAGGAAUUGGUUAGCCUAGCGAUUGUUGUACUUGCACUUGGUUCUAUGAACAUCCUUUCUGUACCGACAGCGAUAUAUUGUUGCACUUCUUAUGACAAAUGUACUUAUUGUAAGUCGCUUUGGAUAAAAGCGUCUGCUAAAUGCCCUAAAUGUAAAUGUAAAUGUAAAUAU